rnacentral:misc_RNA from 1 species
AAUCCAUCUCACCCUUUGUGCAUCACCGCGUGGGCACCCCUUUGGGAUCAUCUCGGAGGGGGCUCGCGUUUUCACACAAAACCCCCCUUUUAAAAGUGUAGAAUGACCUCAUUUAUGCGCUAACCCGCAAUCAAUACAACUUUCAACAACGGAUCUCUUGGCUCUCGCAUCGAUGAAGAACGCAGCGAAAUGCGAUACGUAAUGUGAAUUGCAGAAUUCAGUGAAUCAUCGAAUCUUUGAACGCACCUUGCGCCCCCUGGUAUUCCGAGGGGCACACCCGUUUGAGUGUCGUGAAAACCUCAACCUCCUUGGUUUCUUCUGGAGACCAAAGCAGGCUUGGACUUUGGAGGCCUUUGCUGGCACCUCUCGCCAGCUCCUCUUAAAUGAAUUAGCAGGGUCCUCUUUGCUGAUCCUCGACGUGUGAUAAGAUGUUUCCAUGUCUUGGUUUCUGGCUCUGUCACCUUUGGGACCCGCUUCUAACCGUCUUCAACCUUGCGUUGAGACAACGUUCGAGCAUGUCUCCCUUCUCGGGAAGCUCCCUCGACCCCACGAACCCUUGACCUCAAAUCGGGUGAGACUACCCGCUGAACU